UACGAAGGGGACUAGCGUUGUUCGGAAUUACUGGGCGUAAAGCGCACGUAGGCGGAUUUGUAAGUCAGGGGUGAAAUCCCGGGGCUCAACCUCGGAACUGCCUUUGAUACUGCAAAUCUCGAGUCCGAUAGAGGUGGGUGGAAUUCCUAGUGUAGAGGUGAAAUUCGUAGAUAUUAGGAAGAACACCGGUGGCGAAGGCGGCCCACUGGAUCGGUACUGACGCUGAGGCGCGAAAGCUAGGGGAGCAAACGGG
rnacentral:rRNA from 1 species